GUCGAGAAUCUUUUGCAAUGCGCGAAAGCGUGACAAAGCGACGCUGCGUGGAGGAUGAAGGCCUUCGGGUUGUAAACUCCUGUCAUUCGGGAAAAAGGCUCCCGGCGUGAAUAGCGCCGGGACUCGAUGGUACCGGAAGAGGAAGCCGCUGCCAACUCUGUGCCAGCAGCAGCGGUGAUACAGAGGCGGCAAGCGUUGUUCGGAUUUACUGGGCGUAAAGGGUGCGUAGGUGGUUCCGUACGUCGGAUGUGAAAUCCCACGGCUCAACUGUGGAAUGGCAUUCGAAACCGCGGAACUUGAGUGCAGGAGGGGAGAGCGGAAUUCUCGGUGUAGCGGUGAAAUGCGUUGAUAUCGAGAAGAACGCCGGCGGCGAAGGCGGCUCUCUGGAAUGUAACUGACACUGAGGCACGAAAGCUGGGGGAGCAAACAGGAUUAGAAACCCGAGUAGUCC
rnacentral:rRNA from 1 species